UCCUACGGGGCGCAGCAGUGGGGGAUAUUGCACAAUGGGGGAAACCCUGAUGCAGCGACGCCGCGUGAGCGAUGAAGUAUUUCGGUAUGUAAAGCUCUAUCAGCAGGGAAGAAAAUGACGGUACCUGACUAAGAAGCCCCGGCUAACUACGUGCCAGCAGCCGCGGUAAUACGUAGGGGGCAAGCGUUAUCCGGAUUUACUGGGUGUAAAGGGAGCGUAGACGGCCAUUCAAGCCAGAUGUGAAAGCCCGGGGCUCAACCCCGGGACUGCAUUUGGAACUGUGGGGCUAGAGGGUCGGAGAGGCG
rnacentral:rRNA from 1 species